GUAACAACAGGUGGCGGUGGGCACGGUGAUGGCGGUGGCGGUGGGCACGGUGAUGGCGGCGUUACGACGGGUGGAGGCGUAUGAGUGGGUGGUUUAGGGGUGGACGGAGGUGGUUUAACAGUGGGCGGUUUCGUGGGUGGUUUCGGGGUAGACGGAGGAGGUUUAACGGUGGGCGGUUUCGUGGGUGGUUUCGGGGUGGACGGAGGUGGUUUAACGGUGGGCGGUUUCGUGGGUGGUUUCGGGGUGGGAUGAGGUUUGGUAGGGGGUUUCGGAUGUGGGUGUGGUUUGACAGUGGGCGGUUUGGUAGGGGGUUUAGGGUGUGGGUGUGGUUUGACGGUGGGUGGUUUGGGAGGUUUUACUGCCGGUGGUUUAGGCGGUUUGCUAGGAUGUUUAGGCGGUUUGUGGGGGUGAGGUGAUGGUUUAGGAGGGCUACAGUCGCAAGCGAAGGAGACGGCAAGAAAGCCAAGGAAGAGGAAGAUAAGAAAAGAGAGGUUUUGUGUACGAGACCCCAUUUUUCUAGAGUGAGGGUGUGGUUUACCCAAAGGACUGAGUAAGAAAGAUAUAUGAGUGUAUCAUUUUAUAGAAAGAUAUUAAAAUAUAUUUGCUAUAUAUAAUUUUCAAAUAUGCAUUUUGUGACUAGAUUAUUGAAACUGAAUUUCAGUUUUUGUUUUUGUUUUGAAAUCUAGAUUUUGUAGCAUGUGUUAAGUCACUUAGUUACAACUUACAAGUUGUCAUUU
rnacentral:lncRNA from 1 species